rnacentral:tRNA from 1 species
CGGGGUGUAGCGCAGAUGGUAGCGCGCCACGUUCGGGACGUGGAGGCCGUGGGUUCGAGUCCCGCCACCCCGA